GACAGAGGGUGCAAACGUUGUUCGGAAUUACUGGGCGUAAAGCGCGUUCAGGCGGUUUGGCAAGUCGGGCAUGAAAUCUCUCGGCUCAACCGGGAGAGGUUGUCCGGAUACUGCUGGACUGGAGGGCAGUAGAGGGUGGUGGGAAUUCCGGGUGUAGUGGUGAAAUGCGUAGAGAUCCGGAGGAACACCAGUGGCGGAAGGCGGGAUCGCUGGGCCGAUAUUGACGCUGAGG
rnacentral:rRNA from 1 species